CUGCGUUUAAACCAGUCAG
rnacentral:siRNA from 1 species